UAUAAUGCAAGUCGAGCGAAUGGAUUAAGAGCUUGCUCUUAUGAAGUUAGCGGCGGACGGGUGAGUAACACGUGGGUAACCUGCCCAUAAGACUGGGAUAACUCCGGGAAACCGGGGCUAAUACCGGAUAACAUUUUGAACUGCAUGGUUCGAAAUUGAAAGGCGGCUUCGGCUGUCACUUAUGGAUGGACCCGCGUCGCAUUAGCUAGUUGGUGAGGUAACGGCUCACCAAGGCAACGAUGCGUAGCCGACCUGAGAGGGUGAUCGGCCACACUGGGACUGAGACACGGCCCAGACUCCUACGGGAGGCAGCAGUAGGGAAUCUUCCGCAAUGGACGAAAGUCUGACGGAGCAACGCCGCGUGAGUGAUGAAGGCUUUCGGGUCGUAAAACUCUGUUGUUAGGGAAGAACAAGUGCUAGUUGAAUAAGCUGGCACCUUGACGGUACCUAACCAGAAAGCCACGGCUAACUACGUGCCAGCAGCCGCGGUAAUACGUAGGUGGCAAGCGUUAUCCGGAAUUAUUGGGCGUAAAGCGCGCGCAGGUGGUUUCUUAAGUCUGAUGUGAAAGCCCACGGCUCAACCGUGGAGGGUCAUUGGAAACUGGGAGACUUGAGUGCAGAAGAGGAAAGUGGAAUUCCAUGUGUAGCGGUGAAAUGCGUAGAGAUAUGGAGGAACACCAGUGGCGAAGGCGACUUUCUGGUCUGUAACUGACACUGAGGCGCGAAAGCGUGGGGAGCAACAGGAUUAGAUACCCUGGUAGUCCACGCCGUAACGAUGAGUGCUAAGUGUUAGAGGGUUUCCGCCCUUUAGUGCUGAAGUUAACGCAUAAGCACUCCGCCUGGGGAGUACGGCCGCAAGGCUGAAACUCAAGGAAUUGACGGGGGCCCGCACAAGCGGUGGAGCAUGUGGUUUAAUUCGAAGCAACGCGAGAACCUUACCAGGUCUUGACAUCCUCUGAAAACCCUAGAGAUAGGGCUUCUCCUUCGGGAGCAGAGUGACAGUGGUGCAUGGUUGUCGUCAGCUCGUGUCGUGAGAUGUUGGGGUAGUCCCGCACGAGCGCA
rnacentral:rRNA from 1 species